rnacentral:rRNA from 1 species
GAUGAACGCUAGCGGCAGGCCUAACACAUGCAAGUCGAGGGGUAGAAGGAGCUUGCUCCUUUGAGACCGGCGCACGGGUGCGUAACGCGUAUGCAAUCUACCUUGUACAGGGGAAUAGCCAAGAGAAAUUGGGAUUAAUGCCACAUAGUAUAUAACCUUCGCAUGUUGGUUAUAUUAAAGUUCAAACGGUACAAGAUGAGCAUGCGUCCCAUUAGUUAGUUGGUAAGGUAACGGCUUACCAAGACGAUGAUGGGUAGGUGUACUGAGAGGGAGCUCCCCCACACUUGUACUGCGACACAGACCAGACUCCUACGGGGCGCAGCAGUGAGUACUACUGUUCAAUGGUCGCAAGACUGAACCCGCCAUGCCGCUUGCAGGAAGACGGUCCUAUGGAUUGUAAACUGCUUUUAUACAGGAAGAAACCCUCCCACGUGUGGGAGCUUGACGGUACUGUAGGAAUAAGGAUCGGCUAACUCCGUG